GAACCUUUUCUACACUCGCUGUCACUCAGGCUGUCUCCUGUAUUUCUCGGACAUUUCUCAGAGCACUGCAGAAGCUUUGAUGUAAUUGGCUAAGAAUACUCCAGGGCACUGAACACUAUUUUCAAGGUGGUGGAGCCAGGAGCACACCUGGAACAGCAGGACUUCAGUCAGUCCCAACAGGUAGAAGAGGAAACUGAAGAUUGAACUCACAUAUGCUGGAUGGAACCUGAUGGAAAAAACUGCACACUGUCAGUAGCACAGCGUUAUUGUUCUGCGUAAAAUGACUGAAUGUGUUUUGAUCAAGCAGAAAUUAAAAAGAGUUCAGAGAUGACCUAUGCAUGAAGUACAAGAGGACUAUGAGUCACAGUCAAGCUGUACAAGUUCAUUCAAUGAAGUGUUCCAAUCUGUAACAGACCAACUAUUAAUUGAAUUCACUGCCUUGGUUGAAGAUUCCUCCACUGUUU